UACGUAGGCAGCGAGCGUUGUUCGGAAUUACUGGGCGUAAAGAGUGUGUAGGUGGUGCUCUAAGUUUGGUGUGAAAUCUCCCGGCUCAACCGGGAGGGUGCAUCGAAAACUGGAGUGCUAGAGGAUGGGAGAGGCAAGCGGAAUUCCUGGUGUAGCGGUGAAAUGCGUAGAUAUCGGGGGGAACAUCAGUUGCGAAGGCGGCUCUCUGGACCAGCACUGACACUGAGGCACGAAAGCGUGGGGAGCAAACAGG
rnacentral:rRNA from 1 species